UGCAGAUGUGCCACAACAACGAGAUGGUACGUCUUGCGGAAUCUUGACCGUCAAAUUCAUCGAGCAUCUCAGUGCUGGGAUUUCGGUAGAUAAAGUUGACCCUUUGAAGAUCAAAUAUUACCGACUGAAGCUUGCAAUUGAGGGUUUAAGGGGGGAGGCAUAUUUAUGAGGAACUCCUUUAUAUGAAGAUGCAGACGUAGAUGCUUUGCUGGGGUACUUUAGAUGGUCAUCCUGCCUUUUU